CAUGAAAAAUCUCCCCGUAAAUCGUUUUGGUAAUGUACAGAGACUUUUGGAAAGGAAGGCCAUGGUCUGUCAGGACCCUGAGACAUAAAACUAGACACUGCGGCCCCCUGGGGAGUGAGUAGCAGGAGCUGGGCGAUGCCACCAGUGGCUCUUCCCUCUCUAAACCCCUGACUCUGAGGAGCCAAGACUAUGAUGAGCUGUCAGCCAGUAUAAAGCAGAAAAAGGGCAGAUUUUACAGUUGCUGUAGAUGCCUGAUAUCAGCUUCUCUGGAAACAUUCUAGGAUAUUUUUGGUUCAAGAUUGAGAAGUCACCAGAUAAAUUAUUAGCCAGUUGAAUCCUACUUAUUUUACAUAUAUGAGCAAACUACACUAUUGAAACAAUAUUCUGCACUUAGCGCUGUCAGAGGAUAUUCACACAUUGUUCUUAAUGUGUUGUUUCUUUCCCAGAGCAAUAUUAGUUUAGAUGUUUUAAACAUGAACCUGAUUUUACAUCUUCAUUUGCAGCCUGUUUUGCCCAGUAUUGACAAGAUGUGAAUCUUCUUUCCACCAUGAAGCUGCAGGCCUGGAUUCUCACUGUUUACCUAUACUGUUGUACAAAUUAUGUCAUUAUACUGGUCUAAAAAAUGUCAAUAAAGGAGUUUUAAUGGG